rnacentral:rRNA from 1 species
AUUGAACGCUGGCGGCAUGCUUUACACAUGCAAGUCGAACGGUAACAGGCCUUCGGGUGCUGACGAGUGGCGAACGGGUGAGUAAUGCAUCGGAACGUGCCCAGAGGUGGGGGAUAACGCAGCGACAGCUGUGCUAAUACCGCAUGUGAUCUGAGGAUGAAAGCGGGGGACCAGGCAGCAAUGUUUGGCCUCGCGCCUUUGGAGCGGCCGAUGUCAGAUUAGGUAGUUGGUGGGGUAAAGGCCUACCAAGCCGACGAUCUGUAGCUGGUCUGAGAGGACGACCAGCCACACUGGGACUGAGACACGGCCCAGACUCCUGCGGGAGGCAGCAGUGGGGAAUGUUGGACAAUGGGCGCAAGCCUGAUCCAGCAAUGCCGCGUGCGGGAAGAAGGCCUUCGGGUUGUAAACCGCUUUUGUACGGAACGAAAAGGCUCUGGCUAAUACCUGGGGCUGAUGACGGUACCGUAAGAAUAAGCACCGGCUAACUACGUG